rnacentral:tRNA from 1 species
GGAGAGGUGGCUGAGCUGGUCGAAAGCGCCUCACUGCUAACGAGGUAGGGGCCCUUAAAGUCCCUCGCGGGUUCGAAUCCCGCCCUCUCCG